rnacentral:lncRNA from 1 species
CUUGCGUCUCCUCGGCGAAAAAGCCGCCUCAUCCCUUUUUUUUGUCUGUCCCACCUUGCAAGGGAAAAAAGAUUUCAACGUGUCCACACUAGCGCUGGGCAAUGGAGGCGCUCGCGCUGUGAGCAGGCGCAACUCAUGGAGAGGUGCCAAGGUAGGUUACCUGGCCCUCACCGUCACGAGGACUGCCGCCCAGCAUGCCCUCGAAUCGGCGGCCGUCUGGCCAUGUAAUGACGGCCUCGUGAGAGGCCUUGCCAUUGACCCAGUCGCAUUCGAUGCAGAGGCCCCCGGCGCGGGUUGUGGUCCCGUGACCGUGACGCAGGUCCGACCGGAAGCCUCCGUCAUGGACGUCGCCGUUGGCAUAGGUCAUGACGCCGUCGCCAUCAAGGCCCGCGGGCAUUGUCCAACUCUGCCAAGUGCCCUCGAAGCGCCUUCCGUCGGUCCACGUAGCCGUGCCGCGUAUCACGUUGCCGUCAUACUUUCCUACGUAGAUGGUGCCGUCUGGCAGUGUCAACGUGCCGUUGUCCAGCCACUGCGCGUUGCGGCUGCCGGGCACAGAGAUCACGGCCAUGUGCCACCAGCCGCUGUAGACCGAGCCGUCAGAGGCGAUACAGGUGUCCCAGUAACGAUGGAUGCCGUCGACCCAAGCGCCGUCGUAGCGACGCCCGUUGGACAGCACAAUGCACCCGUCGCCGUGUUGCUUGCCGUCGUGCCAGGCUCCAACAUAGUGCCAGCCUGCCGAGUCGUGACGCUCGCCGUGGCCGUUGUGGAGUCCGCCACACCAGUCACCCUCAUAGCGUGAUCCGUUGCGGUAGACGCGUGCGCCGUGCCCGUGCGGCAGGCCAAACCGCCAGUGGCCAUCGUGACGUGCAGCCGUUGCGUUGAGAGGGCCGUCGUGUUUACGCCUUGUCAACCUUUGGCCGUCGCGGUGCCGGGUCGCAAGGGCGAGACUGAGACCAUAACCGUGCGGAAGGCCGUCCAAGGUGUCGCCCCAGUAAAUGCGCCCUGGGGUCAUGACGGCGCCGACGUCGGGUCCCUUGGCCGACGCGAUGCACGCCUGCGCUUGGUAAAGCCAGCGCCAGCCUUUGGCCGCUGCAAUGAAGCCAUCGUGAAGCGGCGGCCCAAAGUGCGCCCAACAGAGAUCCUUCCACAACAAACCAUCGCCCAAAAGGUCGAGGUACCGCCGACUGGUCAACGCCAACCGCAUAAUCGUCGGCGCCGAAUCCGUGGCCCUAGCAAUCAUCGUGAGGAUCUCGCAGGGCAUGUCGUCGAGCGUCGGUCCCGCUGCAUCGCGCGCAUUCAUCCUGCUGUCGUCAAAUGUCUCGAUGUAAUGCUCCUUCUUUUUUUAUCAAUAAAAAAGAGUUGUCCC